rnacentral:rRNA from 1 species
AUUGAACGCUGGCGGCAGGCCUAACACAUGCAAGUCGAACGAGUGGCGGACGGGUGAGUAAUGUCUGGGAAACUGCCCGAUGGAGGGGGAUAACUACUGGAAACGGCAGCUAAUACCGCAUACCAUCGGAUGUGCCCAGAUGGGAUUAGCUAGUAGGUGGGGUAACGGCUCACCUAGGCGCCGAUCCCUAGCUGGUCUUGGAGGAUGACCAGCCGCGCUGGAACUGUGACACGGUCCAGACUCUGACGGACGGCAGCGGGGGGGAAUAUUGCACAAUGGGCGCAAGCCUGAUGGAGCAAUGCCGCAUGUAUGAAUAAGGCCUUCGGGUUGUAAAGUACUUUCAGCGAGGGGGCGUUACUCGCAGAAGAAGCACCGGCUAACUCCGUGCCAGCAGCCGCGGUAAUAC